GCCACGGUGGUCUAGCGGUCAGAACGCUGGCCUUGUAAUCCUGGGGUCUCGGGUUCGAUUCCCGGUUGUGCCC
rnacentral:tRNA from 1 species